rnacentral:rRNA from 1 species
CCUACGGGUGGCAGCAGUGGGGAAUAUUGCACAAUGGGCGCAAGCCUGAUGCAGCCAUGCCGCGUGUGUGAAGAAGGCCUUCGGGUUGUAAAGCACUUUCAGCGGGGAGGGAGGCGGUGAGGUUAAUAACCUCAUCGAUUGACGUUACCCGCAGAAGAAGCACCGGCUAACUCCGUGCCAGCAGCCGCGGUAAUACGGAGGGUGCAAGCGUUAAUCGGAAUUACUGGGCGUAAAGCGCACGCAGGCGGUCUGUCAAGUCGGAUGUGAAAUCCCCGGGCUCAACCUGGGAACUGCAUUCGAAACUGGCAGGCUAGAGUCUUGUAGAGGGGGGUAGAAUUCCAGGUGUAGCGGUGAAAUGCGUAGAGAUCUGGAGGAAUACCGGUGGCGAAGGCGGCCCCCUGGACAAAGACUGACGCUCAGGUGCGAAAGCGUGGGGAGCAAACAGGAUUAGAUACCCCAGUAGUC